rnacentral:rRNA from 1 species
UACGUAGGUGGCAAGCGUUGUCCGGAUUUAUUGGGUUUAAAGGGUGCGUAGGUGGUCUAUUAAGUCAGUGCUGAAAUAUCCCGGCUUAACCGGGAGGGUGGCAUUGAUACUGAUGGACUUGAGUAGAGUUGAGGUAGGCGGAAUUGACGGUGUAGCGGUGAAAUGCUUAGAUAUCGUCAAGAACACCGAUAGCGAAGGCAGCUUACUAAGCUCAAACUGACGCUGAGGCACGAAAGUGUGGGAUCAAACAGG